CCAUAGCGUAUAUUAAAGUUGUUGCAGUUAAAAAGCUCGUAGUUGGAUUUGUGGCGUACGGUGGGUUCCGGGCACUUGUUGUCUGAGUAACUUGCUGUUGCCAUCCUUGGGUGGAACCUGUGUGGCAUUAGGUUGUCGUGCAGGGGAUGCCCAUCAUUUACUGUGAAAAAAUUAGAGUGUUCAAAGCAGGCUUAUGCCGUUGAAUAUAUUAGCAUGGAAUAAUGAGAUAGGACUUUUUUGCUAUUUUGUUGGUUUGCGCAAAGAGGUAAUGAUUAAUAGGGACAGUUGGGGGUAUUCGUAUUCCAUUGUCAGAGGUGAAAUUCUUGGAUUUUUGGAAGACGAACUACUGCGAAAGCAUUUACCAAGGAUGUUUUCAUUAA
rnacentral:rRNA from 1 species